CACGUAGUUAGCCGAUGCUUCCUCUGCUGGUACCGUCAUUGUUUUCGUUCCAGCUGACAGAGCUUUACACCCCAAAGGGCUUCUUCGCUCACGCGGUGUCGCUACGUCAGGGUUUCCCCCAUUGCGUAAAAUUCCCCACUGCUGCCUCCCGUAGGAGUAUGGGCCGUGUCUCAGUCCCAUUGUGGCUGAUCAUCCUCUCAGACCAGCUACCGAUCGUCGCCUUGGUAGGCUCUUACUCUACCAACUAGCUAAUCGGACGCGGGCUCAUCUUUAGACGGAUUACUCCUUUCACCUUGCGGCAUAUGCGGUAUUAGCGGACCUUUCGGCCCGUUAUCCCCCAUCUAAAGGCAGAUUCCCACGCGUUACUCACCCGUCCGCCACUAGGUAUUGCUACCUCGUUCGACUUGCAUGUGUGAAGCACACCGCCAGCGUUCGUCCUGAGCCAGGAUCAAACUCU
rnacentral:rRNA from 1 species